GUAACAACACCAUGAAUUAUAUCAGCAGGUAACAACACCAUGCAUUACACCAGCAGGUAACAACACCAUGCAUUACACCAGCAGGUAACAACACCAUGCAUUACACCAGCAGGUAACAACACCAUGCAUUAUAUCAGCAGGUAACAACACCAUGCAUUAUAUCAGCAGGUAACAACACCAUGCAUUACACCGGCAGGUAA